GACGAACGCUGGCGGCGUGCUUAACACAUGCAAGUCGAACGAUGAAGCCCAGCUUGCUGGGUGGAUUAGUGGCGAACGGGUGAGUAACACGUGAGUAACCUGCCCCUGACUCUGGGAUAAGCGUUGGAAACGACGUCUAAUACUGGAUAUGACUACUGGUCGCAUGGCCUGGUGGUGGAAAGAUUUUUUGGUUGGGGAUGGACUCGCGGCCUAUCAGCGUGUUGGUGAGGUAAUGGCUCACCAAGGCGACGACGGGUAGCCGGCCUGAGAGGGUGGCCGGCCAAACUGGGACUGAGACACGGCCCAGACGCCUACGGGGGGCAGGAGUGGGGAAUAUUGCACAAUGGGCGAAAGCCUGAUGCAGCAACGCCGCGUGAGGGAUGACGGCCUUCGGGUUGUAAACCUCUUUUAGUAGGGAAGAAGCGAAAGUGACGGUACCUGCAGAAAAAGCACCGGCUAACUACGUGCCAGCAGCCGCCGUAAAAC
rnacentral:rRNA from 1 species